AGUGGGGAAUAUUGGACAAUGGGCGAAAGCCUGAUCCAGCAAUGCCGCGUGAGUGAUGAAGGCCUUAGGGUUGUAAAGCUCUUUUACCCGGGAUGAUAAUGACAGUACCGGGAGAAUAAGCCCCGGCUAACUCCGUGCCAGCAGCCGCGGUAAUACGGAGGGGGCUAGCGUUGUUCGGAAUUACUGGGCGUAAAGCGCACGUAGGCGGCUUUGUAAGUUAGAGGUGAAAGCCCGGAGCUCAACUCCGGAACUGCCUUUAAGACUGCAUCGCUAGAACGUCGGAGAGGUAAGUGGAAUUCCGAGUGUAGAGGUGAAAUUCGUAGAUAUUCGGAAGAACACCAGUGGCGAAGGCGACUUACUGGACGACUGUUGACGCUGAGGUGCGAAAGCGUGGGGAGCAAA
rnacentral:rRNA from 1 species